AUCAAGAAACAGCAGACAUAGCCACAGUAGAAAUCACGAGAUUAAGAACACAAUAGAAGUUAGAAAAGUAAGGAAAAGAUCAAGAGAACUUUCACCUGAUGUUUACUUUCUGAAUGAUUCAAGUUCUAGUUCAUCUGGCUCAUGUUCAUGGCUAACAGUUGGUGAACAAGAAGCUGAUCGACCUCUUAUACAAAGAAUUGCUAAUACUAGAGUUCUUGGACAGCAUGGUGGUGAGCUGCUUUUAGAUCUGAAAAGAUACCAAGAAUCAACAACAGAAUCUGAAUUGACUAUGCCAGGCAUGAUUAUUGACCAGACAAAGGUAAUUUUCACACUGCUUGUUAUGUCAAGGACUCAUCUGGACAAACUGAAAAAUAACCAUCUACUCCAAAAUGAUGACAGAGCUGUUAUUUACUAUUCUAAGCCAUUAGAUAUUUUGUCAGAAGAAUCGAGAUCUAUUUUAAUAGAAAACUUUAUGAGACUUAACAACUUUUAAUAUUAAAGUGUUCAAAGCCUUGCCGGUAUGACCGGAAAUCAUGCAUUGUGUCAUGUGAAAGAACUGUGUAUAUUGCAGUAAAUUUAAUUCUUGUUGAUUUAUUUUAUUAUAUUUUAUCUGUUUAUUAAUCUACUCAUUUUUAUGCCCUACUUAGGGCAUUUUGUUUUGCGGUCUGUGUGUCUGUUCAUUGGUCUGUCCCACUUCAAGACAGACAGACAAACAAUAAGAGUUGUGAUCCCAAUUUCACGGUCCACUGAACAUAGAAAAUAAAAGUGCCCGCUUCAGCAAAGUUUUUGGUGUAUGUAAUGAUUGUAAGGUGUAUAUGUCUGUCUGGCAAGGUUUAUAUGAACUGAAUCAAUUUUUCGUGGUUCAUUGGUCAAUAUGAAGUUUUUGAGGGUUAUUCAGAUACAUAAAGCAAAGGUCAGUUAUAUUUAAUGUAUGGAUGGAUUGUUAGGUGUACAUGUGUGUCUAGUAGGAUUCAUUUGAAAUUGACCUCAUUUUCAUGAUUCAUUGGACAAUGUUCGGUUAUUGUGAUUUGGUCUAUUUCACAAUUACUGUAAGCAAUAGGACCACUUUAAUUUGUGUAUGGAUUGAUUGUAAGAUUUGGGUGUCCCACUGGCAGGUUUCAUUUAUAUCUGGGCAUGGUUCAUCUAAUCUUGAUCUCAUUUUUAUGGAUCUUUGAUGAUGAUUAGUGUAUGUGAUACUUGUAGGAAAACCUAUAUAUUACAGACUUUCAACAUAAAUUCAAUCAAGAUAAAUCACAUUUCAGUGUGUGCACUCUUGUUACAUUGACUGUCCAAUACCUUAAUUAUGCCACUUACUUAGUAUCUUCAAAGUCAGGUUUAAUUUGAUUUCCAAGUGAUAAAGACAGUUUUGCUUGACCAAAUCAUUUGGAAUUAAGUACAAUAUUUCAUGGACAAUAAAAUUAAGGUAAAAGUUUGAUUUACAUGGUUUUGACAUUUAUUGUUCAUUAGUUAUGGUCUAAGUUCUCUGGAUAUUUUGUAUUUUUGUUUGUUUCACCCUUGACCAAAUCUUUGAAAUUCGAACAGAAUAUUAUUCAAAUUAAGUGAUCAAUAGUUAUGCCCCUUACUUACCCUUUUAGAAGAAUAAUUUCUAGAAGAUAGUUGAAGUAUCACUCUACCAAAUCUUUUGAACUAUAAACACAAUAACGUGAAUCAAUAAAUACAAGUCUCAUUCAGUUUUGACAUUUACUGUUGAAAGAGUUAUUUCUCUUAAUUAACUAUAAAUUUUGAUUUACUUUUUUCCCUCAGUAAACUUUAAAUUUUUAUUUACUUUUUUUUCGAAAUAAUUUAAAUUUGAACAAGUGGAUGUAAAACACAAAAAAACGAGUAUCUUUCAAUUUGAAUUUUUGGUUUGGCAUCACCGUUAAAGAGUUUUCUGCUAGCAGGGGUAUCUGUGAUCACUUAAUGAAAGUAAUUCUAGUUGAAAGGUAGCGGCUGUCACAAAGUGUACCAAAGAAUGUAAUUUUAUCAAUUCUAGUCAAACAAUGUCUCUGUAAUCAAUUAGCAAACAUGGGUUACAGAUUUAUAACUGUUUUGAUUCAGGUAAGUGUUUUAACUAUAGAGUUUUUAAAACAGUCCAUUAUUUUUAAAGUUAUAUUGUUGAUCUACCAUAUGAUAUUCUAAAGGCAUAUUGUAAUUUUAUGUUUAUAGAUCAUAAAUUGCCAAUAUAACAAGGUCAGUUUGUGGGUGCCAAUCAUGAUGAUCAAAUCUGAGAAUUGUGCAUUUUAUGUGAUUCUAGUGAUGGAAUUUGCUAUCUGUUUAAAUUAUUUUUUUCUCAAAUGAAAGAAAAAGGCUUUUGCCCUGUAAAGUGUAUAAAAAGCCUAAAACUAUAAAGUAUUGGGAACUUUUAUAUUCUAAUGACUAAUGGUUACUUGUCAAACUUGCCAAAUUUUGUAAAAUUGUUCUGUCCGCUAUACCUUUGAUGUGCCUUCAAAUUCCAUAAAACAUGCAAUUUAUACCAUUGCAUAUGUAACCAUGUCAAUCCAUUCUUUAUUGCUUUGUAUAUAUAUAUGCUACAAUUGUUAUUACUGUUAACAUUCACAUAACCCUUAAGAAAUUAAAGUUUAAAGUUUCA